rnacentral:rRNA from 1 species
UACGUAGGUGGCAAGCGUUGUCCGGAUUUACUGGGCGUAAAGGGCGUGCAGGCGGUUUGUUAAGUGCAGGGUGAAAGCUCCCGGCUCAACUGGGAGAGGUCCUUGCAUACUGGCGAACUCGAGGGCGGCAGAGGAAAGUGGAAUUCCCGGUGUAGUGGUGAUAUGCGUAGAUAUCAGGAGGAACACCGGUGGCGAAGGCGGGUCUCUGGGCCGAUACUGACGCUAAGGAGCGAAAGCGUGGGGAGCGAACAGG